rnacentral:rRNA from 1 species
GACGAACGCUGGCGGCGUGCCUAAUACAUGCAAGUCGAGCGAAGUUUUUCUGGUGCUUGCACCGGAAAAACUUAGCGGCGAACGGGUGAGUAACACGUAAAGAACCUGCCUCAUAGACUGGGACAACUAUUGGAAACGAUAGCUAAUACCGGAUAACAGCAUUAACUGCAUGGUUGAUGUUUAAAAGUUGGUUUUGCUAACACUAUGAGAUGGCUUUGCGGGGCAUUAGCUAGUUGGUGGGGUAAAGGCCUACCAAGGCGACGAUGCAUAGCCGACCUGAGAGGGUGAUCGGCCACACUGGGACUGAGACACGGCCCAGACUCCUACGGGAGGCAGCAGUAGGGAAUCUUCCGCAAUGGGCGAAAGCCUGACGGAGCAACGCCGCGUGAGUGAAGAAGGAUUUCGGUUCGUAAAGCUCUGUUGUUAGGGAAGAAUGAUUGUGUAGUAACUAUACACAGUAGAGACGGUACCUAAACAGAAAGCCACGGCUAACUACGUG